CCGGGCUUGGCGCAGUUUGGUAGCGCGCUUGCUUUGGGAGCAAGAGGCCGUGGGUUCGAAUCCCGCAGCCCGGACCA
rnacentral:tRNA from 1 species